AUCUGUUCUUAUCAGUUUAAUAUCUGAUAAGUCCCCACCCGGGGACUGCACAUUAAAUGGAUUUUUGAAUCAGGGAGCUGGAGCCGGGGCUUGCUCCGUCCACUCCACGCAUCGGCCUGGUAUUACAGUGUCUCCAGAAAUGGUGU
rnacentral:snRNA from 1 species